rnacentral:rRNA from 1 species
UACAGAGGGUGCAAACGUUGCUCGGAAUUACUGGGCGUAAAGCGCGUGUAGGCGGACCUGUAAGUUGGAUGUGAAAGCCCUGGGCUCAACCCAGGAAUUGCAUACAAAACUACAGGCCUAGAGUGAUGGAGAGGGCAGCAGAAUUCCUGGUGUAGAGGUGAAAUUCGUAGAUAUCAGGAGGAACACCGGUGGCGAAGGCGGUUCUCUGGGAAUGUUCUGACGCUGAGGAGCGAAAGUGUGGGGAGCGAACAGG